rnacentral:rRNA from 1 species
UACAGAGGUCUCAAGCGUUGUUCGGAAUUACUGGGCGUAAAGGGUGCGCAGGCCGCGCGGGCAGUCAAAUGUGUAAUCCAGGGGCUCAACCCCUGAACUGCGCUUGAUACUUCCGCGCUCGAGCUUUGGAGAGGAGUCUGGAAUUCUCGGUGUAGCAGUGAGAUGCGUGGAUAUCGAGAAGAACACUUAGGGCGUAGGCAAGACUCUGGACAAAUGCUGACGCUCAUGCACGAAGGCUAGGGUAGCGAACGGG